AUUGAACGCUGGCGGCAGGCCUAACACAUGCAAGUCGGGCGAGGGGCGGACGGGUGAGUAAUGUAUGGGGAGCUGCGUGACGGGGGGGGAUACCUACUGGAAACGGUAGAUUACACGGCAUAACUUCCGAUGAACCCAUAUGGGAUUAGCUGCUAGGUGGGGUAACGGCUCACCUAGGCGACGAUCCCUAGCUGGUCUGAGAGGAUGAUCAGCCACACUGGGACUGAGACACGGCCCAGACUCCUACGGGAGGCAACAGUGGGGAAUAUUGCACAAUGGGCGCAAGCCUGAUGCAGCCAUGCCGCGUGUAUGAAGAAGGCCUUCGGGUUGUAAAGUACUUUCAGUCGGGAGGCGUUACCGACAGAAGAAGCACCGGCUAACUCCGUGCCAGCCGCCGCGGUAAUAC
rnacentral:rRNA from 1 species